rnacentral:snRNA from 1 species
AGACUGGCUAAGAGAGUGUCUUUUUCCUCCCUCCCAAGCUUCACACAUUUAGAGGAUAACCUUCCAGAUAAAAGAGGACCAUUUUGUAAUCAAGGGUAUACAAGUAGCUGAAGUCCCCUGCUAGGAAUUCUACAUAUUUCCUCAAUGUCUGUUUGUAGGAGAACUAGCGUAGUGUCCAAGACUCUGGAUACAUGCAAAUGAGGAGAUGCAUGUGGCAGUCUGCUUUUCAUU